rnacentral:rRNA from 1 species
GACGAGUGGCGGACGGGUGAGUAAUGUCUGGGAAACUGCCUGAUGGAGGGGGAUAACUACUGGAAACGGUAGCUAAUACCGCAUAACGUCGCAAGACCAAAGAGGGGGACCUUCGGGCCUCUUGCCAUCGGAUGUGCCCAGAUGGGAUUAGCUAGUAGGUGGGGUAACGGCUCACCUAGGCGACGAUCCCUAGCUGGUCUGAGAGGAUGACCAGCCACACUGGAACUGAGACACGGUCCAGACUCCUACGGGAGGCAGCAGUGGGGAAUAUUGCACAAUGGGCG